UCAAGGUGGGAAUUAUCUGUUGCUUGAAGAUGUUGUACCUCACUAAUAAGACUAUCCAAGGGAGGCCUCACUGGGCUUCACUCUUCUUUCUACUUUCUACAACCUCCUGGAUUUAUUUAUUUUUAAUUUUACUAAGCACUAUUUUUUUAAUCCCCAUUUUCUACUACAGUAGCUUCUAGGAACAUUUCUUCUCUUGAUCCCCAGCUUACUGCUUCCUUCUUGAGAUGUCGAUUUGAUCAUUUAUUCCCAUAUACUGAGUUUCUUUAUUUGAUCUUAUUCAUUUAUUUGACAAAUAUUUAUUAAGGUUCAGGCACCAUUCUGGGCCCCCACUAAUCUGUAUAGACUUCUUCCCCCUCCUCCAACAGACCUUUUUUCCCUCUGAUGGUAGUGACAUUUUGUUCCUUGGUUGAGUCCCUGUUUUAUAUUGGAACAGAUAUGUUUACUUGUGACACUUCCAUCUUUAAUUUUAUUUUUAUUCUAUACUAAAGUUACCUCUCUUUUUUCCUAAUACAGUAAUAUAUUUAUUUCAGCUAUAAGGUGCUCAUUUUCUUUUUAGAGUUUAAAAAUAGCACAUACAUCACGAAGCCACAAAACUUUUGGACUCUAAUGAGUUUGUUUUAAUUUUGUAAAAGUAAUUUCCUCCUUGCUUUCUUUCCUAAUUUGAGAGUAUUGCUAUCUGUUUAUUCACACACAUCCAUUCAUUCGUUUGGUAUGUAUUUAUUUAUUUAUUCAUUAAAUAAAUGGUACUCUGUGUACCAGGCCGCAUGCUGGGUGUUGGGGCUAUAAACAUGCAGGAAGCACGUUCUCUUCUCUUAUUGAACCUAGAGUCUACUGCGAGGGGAAAACAUAUAAGUUUAAUAAAAAAUAUUCAGAUGCGAUGCCAUCAGAAGGAAAUUAUCAACGUGAAUUAAUUUAAAGGAGAGGAGGAUUUAAAAUCAAUAAAAUUGGCAGAGGAUUUGGGUUCGGGAAAGGGCUUGCCCUGCCUAUGCUUUCCAGGGAACGAACGGUGUGUGCACGAGGUGGGCCUUGAACAUGAAGAAGGAUGUCGACACUGGGGAAGAGUAAGUUAUUGUCACUGUUUUUGCUUUUUCUCUGUGGCAUUUUUUCCAGAUUAUGGUUAGAUUUUUGAAUAGUGCUUGGACAUUGCUAACUUUCCAAGAGAUAAAGAGACACAGAUUUAUAAGCCCUCCCAUUCAUAGCAAUGCUGACCAUCAUCAUGGCCUUCUAGAUUAUUCUUUAUCAAAAUAUGUCCCUUCCCCACCCCCUCUAUAUAGAACAAAAGAGUAGUGCUUGAGAUCUGAUUUAUUUACUUUUCAUAUUAACAGGUGCCAUUAAGAUGAUAAACCCUCUUUGAUGUGCUCUUUGUUAAAAAAAAAAAAAAAAAAAAAAAAAGCUGCUGAGGUUACUUAGUUGAUUGAUAUUCCAAGAGAAAACACCGCUGACAACACAGCAACUGCUGAUGUGGUACAUGUACCAUUUAUCCUAGUGUUAGUUGGAAAUCCGAAUGUGCUUGAAGUGAAAAUAAAAAAUUAUUGAGGUGAUGGAUUUUCUGGUCAAGAUGGUGGAGUGGUAAGACCACAAGCUCGCCUCUCCUCGCACGAGCUCGCCUCUUCUCGUGACUACAAUGAAACCACAACUGAAUGCUAAAGACUGGAAUGAAAUGAACAAAAGACUGGAACCUAGCAAAAAAGAUCUUCUGCAACUGGAAACAUAAAGAGGGAACCACAGCAGGAUGGUAGGAGGGGCGUGCUCACGAUAUAAUUGGGCCCCAUUUCCCCGGAGUGGGCGACCCACAAGCUGAAGAUCUGUUAAGUCGCAGAGGCCCUCCCACAGGAGUGACAAUUCUAAGCCCCAUGUCAGGCUCCCCAGCUUGGGUCCUGGCAUUUGGAAGAGAAAGAGACCCUAGGACAUCUGGUUUUGAAGGCCAGGGGGACUUGGUGCCAGGAACCCCAUGGGACUGGGGGAAACGGAGACUCCAUUCACUUGGGAAGAGUACACGGAAACUCACGUGCACCAGGUCCAAGGGCAGAGGCAGUGAUUUCAUAGGAACCUGGGCCAAACCUGCCUGCUGGAUUUGGAGGAUCUCCUGGGGACAUGGGGGACGGCUGCAGCUCACUCAGGGGACAUAAAAGCUGGUAGUGAACAUUCCAGGAGUGUUAAUCUACAUGAACUUUCCUGGAGGCUGACAUCUUGAUUGGAUCAUUAGCACCAAGACAUAGCCCUACCCAACAUCCUGUAGAGAAGCCUCAGGCCAAACAAUAUACAGGAUGAGACCACAGCCCCACCCAUCAGCAGACUUCCUAAGCCACAGAGGCCUCUAGACACAGCCCUACCCACCAGAGGUCCAGGACCAAGCUUCACCCAGCAGUGGGCAAGCACAGGAUCCUCUUGCCAGGAAACCUGCAUAAGCCUCUAAUCCAGCCUCAUCCACCAGGGCAGAUAACAGUAGUCCCAAAGAAAACAACAGUCCCAAAGCCUGUGGAAGGAAUCCACAAACAUAUAGAAAGAUAGACGAUAUGAGGGGGCAAAGGAAUAUGUCCCAGGUCAAGGCACAAGAUAAAAUCCCAGAAGAAGAAACAAGUGAUGAGGAGAUAGGCAAUUUAUCUGAGAAAGAGUUUAAAGUAAUGAUGGCCAAGAUGUUCAGAGAACUCAAGAGGAGUAUAGAUGCACAGAGUGAAGUUUUUAGCAGAGUUGGAAAAUAUAAAGAAUACCCAAACAGUGUUGAAGAAUAAAAUCGCUGAAAUGAACAAUACACUAGAAGGAACCAACAAUAGACUAAAUGAGGCAGAAGAAUGGAUCAGUGAGCUAGAAGACAGAUUAGUGGAAAUCACUACUUUAGAACAGAAAAAAGAAAAAGGAAUGAAAAGAAAUGAGACUAGUUUGAGAACUCUGGGACAACAUGAAGCACUCUAAUAUUCGCAUUGUAGGGGUCCCAGAAAGAGAAGAGAGAGAGAAAGGACCUGAGAAAAUUUUUGGAGAGAUAAUCACUGACAACUUCCCCAACUUGGGAAAGGAAACAGUCACCCAAGUCCAGGAAGCACAGAGAGUUCCACACAGAAUCAACCCAAAGAGGGACACACCAAGGCACAUAGUCAUCAAAUUAAGAAUAAGGAAAAAAUAUUAAAAUUAACAAGAGAAAAGCAACAAAUAACAUUCAAGGGAACUCCCAUAAGGUUAUCAGCUCUACAGGCCAGAAGGGAGUGGCACAAUAUAUUUAAAGUGAUGAAAGGGGGAAACUUACAACCAAAAUACUCUAUCCAGCAAGGCUCUCAUUCAGACUUGAUGGAGAAAUCAAAAGCUUCACAGAUAAACAAAAGCUAAAAGAUUUCAGCACCACCAAACCAGCUUUACAAUAAAUGUUAAAUGACCUUCUCUAGUCUUCAAACCAUAAGAAAACA